UACGUAGGUGGCAAGCGUUGUUCGGAAUUCUUGGGCGUAAAGAGCUCGUAGGCGGCUCAGUAAGUCGGGUGUGAAACCUCCAGGCUCAACCUGGAGACGCCACCCGAUACUGCUGUGGCUAGAGUCCAGUAGGGGAGCGUGGAAUUCCUGGUGUAGCGGUGAAAUGCGCAGAUAUCAGGAGGAACACCAGCGGCGAAGGCGGCGCUCUGGGCUGGCACUGACGCUGAGGAGCGAAAGCGUGGGGAGCGAACAGG
rnacentral:rRNA from 1 species